rnacentral:rRNA from 1 species
AUGGGCGAAAGCCUGAUCCAGCAAUGCCGCGUGCAUGAUGAAGGCCCUCGGGUUGUAAACUGCUUUUGUACGGAACGAAAAGCCUGGGGCUAAUAUCCCCGGGUCAUGACGGUACCGUAAGAAUAAGCACCGGCUAACUACGUGCCAGCAGCCGCGGUAAUACGUAGGGUGCAAGCGUUAAUCGGAAUUACUGGGCGUAAAGCGUGCGCAGGCGGUUUUGUAAGACAGUGGUGAAAUCCCCGGGCUCAACCUGGGAACUGCCAUUGUGACUGCAAGGCUAGAGUGCGGCAGAGGGGGAUGGAAUUCCGCGUGUAGCAGUGAAAUGCGUAGAUAUGCGGAGGAACACCGAUGGCGAAGGCAAUCCCCUGGGCCUGCACUGACGCUCAUGCACGAAAGCGUGGGGAGCAAACAGGAUUAGAUACCCUGGUAGUCCACGCCCUAAACGAUGUCUACUGGUUGUUGGGACGUAACUGACUCAGUAACGAAGCUAACGCGCGAAGUUCACCGCCUGGGGAGUACGGCCGCAAGGUGGAAACUCAAAGGAAUUGACGGGGACCCGCACAAGCGGUGGAUGAUGUGGUUUAAUUCGAUGCAACGCGA